rnacentral:misc_RNA from 1 species
GAUGAAGAACGGAGCGAAAUGCGAUAAGUAAUGUGAAUUGCAGAAUUCAGUGAAUCAUCGAAUCUUUGAACGCACCUUGCGCCCUUUGGCCAUUCCGAAGGGCAUGCCUGUUUGAGUAUCAUGAACACCUCAACUCUUUAUGGUUUUCCAUGAUGAGCUUGGACUCUGGGGGUUUUGCUGGCUCACAGUCGGCUCCUCUAAAAUAAAUCAGCUUACCAGUGUUUGGUGGGUAUCAUGGGUGUGAUAACUAUCUACGCUUGUGGUUUUUCCACCAGGUAACCUUCAGCAGUGGAGGUUCGCUGGAGCUCAUAGACGUCUCUCCUCAGUGAGGACAGCCCUUUGAACGUUUGAUCUCAAAUCAGGAAGGACUACCCGCUGAACUUAAGCAUAUCAAUAAGCGGAGGA